AUGCUGGCGGACUGGAAUCCUAAUUUCUCUCUCACGUGAUUGUCCCUUCCGGUCUGCAUUCCCUCUUCAUUUUCUUUUGCUCUCAUUUCCUCCCACUCUCCCUCACUUUUGUCUUCCAAAAAGCAGAAAAAUGACUUGUUCUAGUGAGCUGUAACAAGCCUGGAAGUAAUCACUACUGUUAAAUGGGGUCGAAUGCAAAACAAAAUGAUUAAUGAUUAAGAGGCAGGAAACUUUAACCCAUUUUGAAAAACUGCUGGUGUUCAGAAGGCCUGCUCCUCUGCUUGUGACAGCAGUGUCACGCCUGGGAAAGCGAAGGAGGAAUCAAACAGGAGGCAGCCGAUACAGGAUCUUUGGCUCAAGUCAUUUUGGGACCUGCAACACUGAACCAGCUUAGCGAAGGGGUCAUGACAGUGGGCUGUACACUCAGUGUUGGAGAAGGUGAACACCUCAACUUUUUAUUGUGCUCCAGAAGGGCAGAAGGAAAAAGAGGAAUAGGCCACACCUACGCAGUGAAAGGGGCAGCAUGUUCAAAGAAAUAAAAGGAUUUUUUUUUUUUUUUCACUGCACAAAAACUGAAGUGUGGACAUGAUUGAAGUUAAAAGUCUAAACAGGUCUAAAAGAGAUGAGGCUGCACCUGAAGAGAAGUACUUUGGCAAGUGUUAUUUUGGAAGGUGGGUUCAUGCCUGGUUUGGAAAAUCCCUAAGCCUGUGAGACCUGGAAGGACAACAGGUAUCACUAUACAUUCUCCCUGGUCUUCGAUUUUUUCCCUCGUCACCUGCUACUCUCACAGACACUGUAACGUGCUGGAGGGGCUUUCGUCUGAUACAGCAUGGCAGUUCCUGUGCUCCUGUCUUCUUAAACGGGACAACCAUAAUCCUGUUUCCUGCUCUUCCCUGUGAACGAAGCCAGCACCUCAGCGCGCAUGAGGCUCAGCUGGCAUCACAGUGACUGCUGGUAGGAAGUCUGAGAGUCAGGGAAGCCGUCCAUCAUGGACCCACAGCAAAAAUGGGGUGUUCUCAGCCAUGAAAGACCUGAAAGACCCAAGUUACGCCAUAGAAUAUAGAGAUAUUUGACUGCUGGAUUUUUUAAUACAUGUGAAUUCUGUGGUUUCUGCCUUAGAUUCUUCAAUCAAAUAUAUUUUUGCUCCAUUGUACAGUCUUCUUCAAAGAAGGUUCGAGAGAUAAAACCAGAAUAUGAUCUUUGAAUAGAUCUAACCAUACACAGUGUGAACCUGCUCUGGAAUUCCUUCGAGGUACCCCUUGUGAGCUGAUCGGACCCUUUAAAGACAAAUUCUUCCAGGAAGUCUGAAAACUGUCAGGGCUGUCAGCAUGACUGUCACCAGAGGUUCAGCUCUUCUUUCUGAGCUAAACCAUGACAUCUUCCAGGAAGGAAGAAAAUGAAAAAAACUCCGAGGCAAUGUAACACUGGAUGGCACUGAAAACCGCAGCUCAGGUUAUAAAUGUCCUUUUGAUAAAAUGGUAGCACUGAGGAUAUGCUGCUAUGGCUGCUUUAAGGUUUAGGACAAGAUUUUUGUUUAUUUGGAUUAAACUGAAAAUCAACAGUCCUUGGAGGAUCUGCAUCAAUGUAACAUGGUUCUUUCAAAUUAAAAGACCUGGAA